rnacentral:rRNA from 1 species
UGUUCCAGUCAGCAGGCCUAACACAUGCAAGUCGAGCGGUAGCACAGAGAGCUUGCUCUCGGGUGACGAGCGGCGGACGGGUGAGUAAUGUCUGGGAAACUGCCUGAUGGAGGGGGAUAACUACUGGAAACGGUAGCUAAUACCGCAUAACGUCGCAAGACCAAAGUGGGGGACCUUCGGGCCUCAUGCCAUCAGAUGUGCCCAGAUGGGAUUAGCUAGUAGGUGGGGUAACGGCUCACCUAGGCGACGAUCCCUAGCUGGUCUGAGAGGAUGACCAGCCACACUGGAACUGAGACACGGUCCAGACUCCUACGGGAGGCAGCAGUGGGGAAUAUUGCACAAUGGGCGCAAGCCUGAUGCAGCCAUGCCGCGUGUAUGAAGAAAGGCCUUCGGGUUGUAAAG